UACGUAGGGACCGAGCGUUGUCCGGAUUUAUUGGGCGUAAAGAGCGUGUAGGCGGCCUGACAGGUCUGCUGUGAAAACUCGAGGCUCAACCUCGAGAUGUCGGCGGAAACCGUCUGGCUAGAGUCCGGAAGAGGAGAGUGGAAUUCCUGGUGUAGCGGUGAAAUGCGCAGAUAUCGGGAAGAACACCCGUGGCGAAGGCGGCUCUCUGGGACGGUACUGACGCUGAGACGCGAAAGCGUGGGGAGCGAACAGG
rnacentral:rRNA from 1 species